AAGUCGUAACAAGGUUUCCGUAGGUGAACCUGCGGAAGGAUCAUCAUUGAAAUCCAUUUCUACUCACCCGUGUGAACCGUAUGUGAAUCAGGUAUUUGGCAGGGAGCGCUUGUAAGGAAGGGUAUACCCCUACUUUGCAAUGUCGUGCAUCAGAAUAAUUAUUUUGGUACCUGCCAAGUUCCUACCAUUUAACAAUAACGCGUAAAACACUUUUAUCUGAAUAUUUUAAAACAAAAAUUAAAACAACUUUCAACAAUGGAUCUCUUGGCUCUC
rnacentral:misc_RNA from 1 species